GACGAACGCUGGCGGCGUGCUUAACACAUGCAAGUCGAACGAAGUGGCGAACGGGUGAGUAACGCGUAAUCAACCUGCCCUUCAGAGGGGGACAACAGUUAGAAACGACUGCUAAUACCGCAUACUGUAGGAGGGGGUUGCGUCUGAGUCGGUAGUUGGAGGGGUAACGGCCCACCAAGGCGAUGAUGACUAGCAGGGUUGAGAGGGUGAACGGCCAAAUUGGGACUUGGAAACCGCCCAGACCCCUACGGGAGGCAGCAGUGGGGAAUCUUCCGCAAUGGAGGAAAGGCUGACGGAGCAACGCCGCGUGAGUGAUGACGGCCUUCGGGGUGGAAAGCUCUGUUAAUCCGGACGCGGUACCGGAAGAGAAAGCCACGGCUAACUCCGUGCCAGCAGCCGCGGUAAUAC
rnacentral:rRNA from 1 species